UACAGAGGGGGCAAGCGUUGUUCGGAAUUACUGGGCGUAAAGGGCGUGUAGGCGGUCUGGUAAGUGGGAUGUGAAAUGCCCCGGCUCACCCGGGGACCUGCAUCCCAAACUACCUGGCUUGAGUAUGGGAGAGGAUGAGGGAAUUCCUGGUGUAGCGGUGAAAUGCGUAGAUAUCAGGAGGAACACCGGUGGCGAAAGCGCUCAUCUGGCCCAAUACUGACGCUGAGGCGCGAAAGCUAGGGGAGCAAACGGG
rnacentral:rRNA from 1 species